rnacentral:rRNA from 1 species
UACGUAGGGUGCAAGCGUUGUCCGGAAUUAUUGGGCGUAAAGAGCUCGUAGGCGGUCUGUCGCGUCUGCUGUGAAAACUCAGGGCUUAACCCUGAGCUUGCAGUGGGUACGGGCAGACUAGAGUGCGGUAGGGGAGACUGGAAUUCCUGGUGUAGCGGUGAAAUGCGCAGAUAUCAGGAGGAACACCGGUGGCGAAGGCGGGUCUCUGGGCCGAUACUGACGUGGAGGAGCGAAAGCCGUGGGGAGCGAACAGG